UAUUCCUUUAGACACACCCAGCCUUGUUUGAUUUUGGAAGCAAAGCAGGGUUAAGCCUGGUAGUUACUUGGAUGAGAGAUCACCAAGCCAUACCAGGAA
rnacentral:rRNA from 1 species